UACCUGCGGAAGGAUCAUUACAGAAUGAAAAGUGCUUAACUGCAUUUUUUCUUACACAUGUGUUUUUCUUUUUUUGAAAACUUUGCUUUGGUAGGCCUUCUAUAUGGGGCCUGCCAGAGAUUAAACUCAACCAAAUUUUAUUUAAUGUCAACCGAUUAUUUAAUAGUCAAAACUUUCAACAACGGAUCUCUUGGUUCUCGCAUCGAUGAAGAACGCAGCGAAAUGCGAUAAGUAAUAUGAAUUGCAGAUAUUCGUGAAUCAUCGAAUCUUUGAACGCACAUUGCGCCCUUUGGUAUUCCAAAGGGCAUGCCUGUUUGAGCGUCAUUUCUCCCUCAAACCCUCGGGUUUGGUGUUGAGCGAUACGCUGGGUUUGCUUGAAAGAAAGGCGGAGUAUAAACUAAUGGAUAGGUUUUUUCCACUCAUUGGUACAAACUCCAAAACUUCUUCCAAAUUCGACCUCAAAUCAGGUAGGACUACCCGCUGAACUUAAGCAUAUCA
rnacentral:rRNA from 1 species